ensembl:lncRNA
AGGUGGAGGAGGUUGUGCAGGUGUGUUCCAGGGCAUCACCUAGCAGUUCUGCAAACGUGUCUGUGAUACAGGAGGCGGAGGCCUCUCCAAGUGUUGGGCAGGUGUGUUUCGGGACAUCACCUAGUUGUGCUGCAGAGGUGUCUGUGACACAGGAGGUGGAGGCAGCCCCGGUUCUUGUACAUCCGUUUUCCGUGCCAGUACCUGCAAGCGCAGAGGUUGGAGCUGCAGUGAGCCGAGGUCAUGCUGAGUUAAUCUCUGAUGUUUGUGGGUGUCCAUUUGCAAAGCUUGAAGAAUCAGUGCAGUGCACUUUUAUGAGGAUGCAUCAGGCAUGGAAUGCAUGAGGUUUGAGUGGGGAUGGUUCUAUCUUCCCCCACUCCUGCAAAGUCCUAGAGUUGAGCUAUUUCAUGGUGGUUGCUGGUGGACUGGUAAAGAUGCUGUUCAGGAUUCUCCAACGGAUCUCCAUUGGGUUGAGAUUAAGGGAGUUUGGAGGCCAUUCCUCCUUACACAGAAAGCCAGGUAGAUGCUCAGAACACCAUUCCUGAGUCAUAC